rnacentral:rRNA from 1 species
AGGGGGGACGGAGAAGGCUAUGUUGGCCGGGCGACGGUUGUCCCGGUUUAAGCGUGUAGGUGUGUGUUCCAGGUAAAUCCGGUUCACUUUAACACUGAGGCGUGACGACGAGGCACUACGGUGCUGAAGCAACAAAUGCCCUGCUUCCAGGAAAAGCCUCUAAGCAUCAGGUAACAUCAAAUCGUACCCCAAACCGACACAGGUGGUCAGGUAGAGAAUACCAAGGCGCUUGAGAGAACUCGGGUGAAGGAACUAGGCAAAAUGGUGCCGUAACUUCGGGAGAAGGCACGCUGACACGUAGGUGAAGUGAUUUACUCAUGGAGCUGAA